rnacentral:rRNA from 1 species
UACGUAGGGGGCUAGCGUUGUCCGGAAUCAUUGGGCGUAAAGCGCGCGUAGGCGGCCCUGUUAGUCCGCUGUAAAAGUCAAAGGCUCAACCUUUGAAUGCCGGUGGAUACUGCAGGGCUAGAGUCCGGAAGAGGCGAGUGGAACUCCUGGUGUAGCGGUGGAAUGCGCAGAUAUCAGGAAGAACACCAACGGCGAAGGCAGCUCGCUGGGACGGAACUGACGCUGAGACGCGAAAGCGUGGGGAGCGAACAGG